rnacentral:rRNA from 1 species
AUGCAUAACUGUGGAAACCUUAGUGUUCUUGAUGUUAUUAUUUUGUUCCACGGUUUAUUCAGUGAUAACUCUGUUAGUAUGGGCGGUAUUAUUGCUAAACGGUUAAGUCUGAACUGUACAAAGGUCCCCAUCUUUGGAGGCAUCUAUGCUUCACGCCUAGCUGCACAUUUUAACAUACCUAUUAGGCAUUAUGAGAAGGAAGAAAAAUUGCUGCCCACUGUUUAUUUAGAUUACAAGAGUAUGGUGGCACACGAUUUUAUUGUUAAGAAUAGGGAAGGGAAGCUUAAAUACAAAUUGUUCUUUCAUAAACAUCAUCCUGAGACUAUCAACCUGCUUGCUUCUUCCUUGUUUGAUUUAUCUGCAGGCAGUACCUUGUUCCGUUAG